rnacentral:lncRNA from 1 species
GAGAAGGAGGACACCGGAGCCGGAGCUGAUGCUGACGGAGGACUCCCAGCCUGCAAUGACAGACCUGUGGUCAGUGUUCAGACAUCUAUUUGUUGCUGUUUUAUUCUGAUGUUUCCCUCAGAGCCUUUUCAAUCAGCUACAGGCCAGAAGGAAUCAGAACCCCAUGGAAAAGGGCUAUGCCAGGACAUAAGUGGAAAUAUUGGUUUUGCAACUAAACUCACAUUUGAAAAUGAUGCUCAUUCAAUCAAAUAUGACUAAACACUUUUAAGUGUUCUGGAACUAAGGAACUAAGACUGCCUUUACAGAGUCAUCCUUACAAAGCCUUCUUUGGAAAAACUGGCUUACAGAGUUCCCAGCCUUGCAGGUGAGUAAGAAAAGCCACUUCCUGGGAGGCCCAUGAGUCUUAGGAUAUUUUAGGGACCUCAAGAAAUGAGGAAUUCUUAUAAAUAAAACAGGUGAAAUCUGAUAUAGAGUUAUUGGCAUAGCUUCCUAGCCUUAAGAUCACUAGUAACAAGAGGCUUUAAAAAAUCCAAUCUGAGAUUCCUAAAGAAAACGUGCAGCAGAGCAAACUUAAGAACUUUAAGGAACUUUUAACACUCUUGCUGUGCCCAGCUGAACAACGCCUGUAAUCUGGGGAAAGAAGACUAAACAUCUCAUACGUGCCUGACUUGAAGAGUAGCGUAGGGAGAAGACAGAAUGGGAUAGAGUAGUACAGUCUCUCAAAUUUUUAAACAAAUUCUAACAUCGGGAGGUUGGAAACUAGAAUUAUUCAGCUUACAGAUGCUUUCAGCUUGUGCACAGAGAGAAGGCCAUGUCAAGACAUGGAGAGAAGGCCAGCAAGAGAGGCCACACCAGAAACUGCACACUGCGAGACCCUGAUCUUAAGACUUUCCUACCUCCAGAACUUUGAGAAAAUGAAUUCUAUUAUUUAAGCCAUGCAGUCUAUGGUAUUUUCUUAUGGCAGCCCAAGCAGACUAAUACAGUUAGUAAAAUAGAUUUGGGAAAAUUAUGACAUAAUCUACAUCUAUCUCAAACAUAAAAGGAAAAGCCAAGUCGUCUUAAGGAAUAACAAAAAUGGCAUAAAGUACCAUUUUACAAGAAGUUCAAUUUUGAAAUAAAAUUUAGUACAUAUUUUAGUCACUAAAAUUUUAACUCAGGAAAAAAACAAUUACAUCACAGAAGUCAAGACAGGAAAAUUUAUUUCUUAUAAAACUAUAUUUCAACAAACUAAGGUAAUUUAUUUAAAGUAACGUCAAAAUGCAUCAAUAUUUGUCUUCAGUAUAAUAAUAUAGUCCAAAUUUCUAGUAAUGUGAUUAUCUGUUUCCACCACUGCUUUCUUUUUUAAACCUCAUUGUGGCAAUAAUGAAGUUAACAAGCAACUAGAAAAUAUGAAACAACCAAGCACAAGACCAUAACAGCCACACAUUUGUUCUAAGCCAUUCAUCUAGGGUCUCUGGAUUUCAGCUUUCUCCUCUAUAAAGUGGACUAUGUGGAAGUGGAAGGAGGAGGAGAGUAGAGUUAAUGAAGAUGACCCCUUUGGUUCCUCUGAGAGUCAAAUAUCUAUGGGGAAUAUGUUGCCCUGCUUAGCGCUGCUCAGCACCACACACUGCAGCUGAAAAUUCACCCUUAAAGUUAUGAAAAAAUGGAUUUAUAGUUCCCCAAGCCUUUCUAAUAUAGACUGAUAAAUUAAAUGCUUUUUAAAAGUUACAUAUAACAUAUGAUUAGAAUCAUAAUAUUUUAGUAAUGUACUGAAGAAUACAAUCUUUUCCAAAUGCUUUCUCCAUUAAGUAUUUUUCAUUUUCAUUUUCUGAAUAUGAAGUAAGGGUUUGCUAAAAACAAAGGUCUUUGUAUUCAUUGCUGACUUUUUAAAAAUCUUAAUUAUACAUUAGUAAAAUGAACAGAUAAAUUUCUGCCAUUUUAAAAUAAUGUAUCCAAUAAAUACACGAAAACCUUGAAAUAAUCUAUGUCAAUAUAAGUCAGAAUUCAUUUGCUGUAAAGGUUGUUAUAGAAAUUAUAACACUGUGCCCUCUCCCUCUCCCUCUCCCUCUCCCCACGGCCCACGGUCUCCCUCUCCCUCUCUUUCCACGGUCUC